GAGAUACAGAGAGAGAGCGAGAUAACAAUUAUCGCUGCUGCUACGUAGCGUCCUGUCGCAAGUGGAAAAGUACUACUACACAGGAUAUGGCGACCUCCCGUAGGAAAAAACAACAACUUUGUUGACGAACAGAAGGCGAAUAUAAAUUAAGGUGUAUUGACGGAGAAGGUGUCGCAAGAAACGGAUAAUUCCAUCCUAUCAACAACGACGAGUGCUGCAACGGAAAGAGAGAGAGAGAGAGAGAGAGAGAGGUAUACUACGCUCUGGCAAAAGAGAAAUCUGAGCUCCGUCGAGUUCCGUUAUCUCAGUGUGUACGUGUGUGUGGGUAUUUGUGAUUGUUUUGGUCGUUGCGUGCACGGAAGCAUUUUGCAUUUUCGUCAAAGCAUAGCAACUAACUCGUUAAUAUUAUAAGAUUUAUCAACCGGAGGCGUCUUCGUUUACCAAAAAACUACCAACUUCCGGCCAAAUAGGAAAUAUACUCUUCGUAUUUCGUAGCCUCGAGUGUCAAGCAAUCCCCAAGAACGUCCCUUUCAUUGGCGUGUUUCUGAUUGCGUCAUCGAAAAAUUCCGACCAGCGGGAAUUUCCUCUCCUACUCAGCUGAGCAAGAGAUGAAAUGCCAACUAGCCAUUUUUAUACAACCCUAGACUCAUUCUUUACGUCCUUUGGUAAUCGGCGUCAGAAUGAUCAACUAUAAGGUUUGAAAGUCAAUAAAUAACUAACUAUUUAAAGGAUAAAUCAUCUUAUCAAUCUCAGUAAGAGGGAAAGUCCUAAACAGCUUCAUUGGCCUCCCCUACCAUGUCACCCUCCCUAAAUCCUAUCUGUGAUCCAGCCGCAACUGGUAACUGUUCUGGUCAGUCCACUCCCCGUAACCUUGGUAGUCAUAUACAAGGCAGCUCUCAGUAUCCCUGCAGUCAGUAUUCAGUGAACGCUGAAGGAAUACAGGUCCUCUCUUAGUGAGCCAGUCCUACCUGCUUACCUUACCCCUGUUACCUAUUGUUGCCUCAUCGCUUGGUUCUGUGUAUUCUGCAUCGUCAAGGUCCAGUUCGCGAGUGUGUAUCAAGGAGUGUUAUUCAAGAGAUAUACCUACAAGGAGUGUUAUUCAAAAGAUAUAUCUACAGGGACCUUUUCAAUCGUCUGUGUACAGUACGUUAUCUGGACGAAUUUUUGGGAUUGUGAAGGAAUUGAUUAUACAGAGGAACAGUUAGUGUCAAAGUUCAGUGUUGCCAACAGUUGUUCAUGUUCACCGACGUACAACCCUCCUACAACCUCACGAUGGAAGCCAAAGCCCUGGUCGAGGUGACGGACAUCGUCCUGCAGAACAACAAGACGGCCACCGUCGAAGACGGCUACGAGAUCUUCAGCCUGAAGCGAGUCGAGGGCUUCGAGAUCCCUCUGGAGAUCAUGGGCAUCGCCCUCCUGAUAGCUACCAUCCUGGCCACGGCCAGGUACAUCAAGAAGAAGCUGAACAAACCGCCCAAACAAGAGACGACGGUGGCAACGGUGGCGGUGGCGGGCGAGGGCGCCGUGUGAGGGACGACGCCCCAAAAGGGCGCUCGUAUCGCCUCCUGGGUUUCAUCAUGUGCAUCUAUCGUAUCUCGGAACAAGCAGCAGCAGCUGGAGAAAACGAAGAAGAAGAAGAAGAAGCAGUGUUGGUAGAAGUGUUCGUUCAGUGAGAUGUUCCGAGACGUCUCGUUUUGUCGAUUCGAAAAAAUGGGACACUUGUCGUGAAAGGCAUAUGAUAUAGCAGUCUUUCGACGAGCUUUUUGUUGUAUAGAAGAUAGCCUAUCGCCUCCAGUACGAUCUUUCCUUCUUCGAAAGAGCUGCCCGCCCACACAACACCAAUGCAGUCAAGCACGUUCGGAAGGCCAGGUCAAACGGAGAGAUAGAGAAAGGUGUUCUCCAUUUAGCUGGAUGCAUCCGGUUCAAGCCAAGGUGUUUCAUUGCCCCGCUAAGGAUGAUUCAGAUCCUACGGAUGUGAUAUCAUUUUGUAUGAAAAAAGAGCAAGCAGCACUUCGGGCUGAUUUGGUUAUGUCGCCAUUUGCCGCGGUCAGUACACGGGGUGUUAACACUUUCGUGUGACUGACGGACGUGUUUUUGGCAAGAGAUUAUCAUUAAUAUUAUCUGCAUUCAUUUACUGUAUUUCAUGACAGUUUAAAAAUGUUUGUAAAGGUUCUUAUGAAACUCUUAUCAUGUACAAUAAUUUCAUAAGUCUACUCUGUCGACAUUCACGGUUCAAAAUGUAUAGAAGUUAUGUAUCCAAGAUCUUAAAACGUUAAAUUGAUUAUUUUUGUCGACAAUGUACUCAAUACAAAAUUGUGUAAUCGAUAUCUAACCCAAUUCGACCAAAAUAAAAACCUUUAAAUGCAA